rnacentral:rRNA from 1 species
UGCCAGACUCCUACGGGAGGCAGCAGUGAGGAAUAUUGGUCAAUGGCCGAGAGGCUGAACCAGCCAAGUCGCGUGAGGGAAGAAUGUCCUAAGGAUUGUAAACCUCUUUUGUCGGGGAGCAAAAAGGCUCUGCGGAGUCGUAUUGAGAGUACCCGAAGAAAAAGCAUCGGCUAACUCCGUGCCAGCAGCCGCGGUAAUACGGAGGAUGCGAGCGUUAUCCGGAUUUAUUGGGUUUAAAGGGUGCGUGGGCGGAUUGAUAAGUUAGAGGUGAAAUGUCCGAGCUUAACUCGGGAACUGCCUCUAAUACUGUUGAUCUAGAGAGUAGAUGCGGUAGGCGGAAUGUAUGGUGUAGCGGUGAAAUGCUUAGAGAUCAUACAGAACACCGAUUGCGAAGGCAGCUUACCAAUCUAUAUCUGACGUUGAGGCACGAAAGCGUGGGGAGCAAACAGGAUUAGAUACCCCUGUA